AAUGCGAAUGUGAUCAAAUUUGAUUUAUAUUCAAACUUGGGCUUGCCUAUACCUUUUCAAUCCAAAAUGAUUAACUGGAAUUAAUCAAUCAACAUAAUAGUGAUGACAUAGACCGUGAGUUAAUUUUUAAUGAGGCCUACAGUUGUAAACAUGCAUAAAGAAAAGCUCAGCUGUCACGUCCUGACCUUAGUUACUUUUUUUAUAUCUCUAUUUUAGGUUGGUCAGGGCGUGAGUUGGGGUGGACAUUCUAUGUUUUGUUCUAUGUGUUUGACCUGGUAUGGUUCCCAAACAGAGGCAGCUGUCAAUCAUUGUCUCUGAUUGAGAACCAUACUUAAGGCAGCCUUUUUUCACCCUUGAGUUGUGGGUAGUUGUUUUCUGUCUCUGUACCAGACAGGACUGUUUCGUUUGUUCCUUUUUGUUCUAGUGUAAUUAAAAGAUCAUGAACACGUACCACGCUGCACCCUGGUCCUCUCCUUCUUCCACCGACGACAACCGUUACAUCAGCCCUUCAAAUCCUGUCCUGCCCUCAGUGGAAGAGUUGAGCUCUUCUCCAACACCAUCCAUCCAUGAUGAGCCUGUCCUGCACUGAAGGCUAUGAACACCUCAACCCCUGUCCUGCACUGAAGGCUAUGAACACCUCAACCCCUGUCCUGCACUGAAGGCUAUGAACACCUCAACCCCUGUCCAGCACUGAAGUCAAGCCUCUGAACACCUCAACGCCUGUCCUGCACUGAUGUCAAGCCUCUGAACACCUCAACCCUUGUCCUGCACUGAAGGCUAUGAACACCUCAACCCCUGUCCUGCACUGAAGGCUAUGAACACCUCAACCCCUGUCCAGCACUGAAGUCAAGCCUCUGAACACCUCAACGCCUGUCCUGCACUGAUGUCAAGCCUCUGAACACCUCAACCCUUGUCCUGCACUGAAGGCUAUGAACACCUCAACCCCUGUCCUGCACUGAAGGCUAUGAACACCUCAACCCCUGUCAUGCACUGAAGGCUAUGAACACCUCAACCCCUGUCCGGCACUGAAGUCAAGCCUCUGAUCAACUCAUGCCUCAUACCCUCAUUCAAUCACUGCUGUGAUCCCUUUCCAACAGAUUGGAAGUAGCCCUUUCAUUCCCACCUUUCUCAAUUGUUUUCUCUCAGUUCAGCAGUGUCAUAGCUUAAAACAUCUUUACAGGGCACAGAGCUUCUGGAACAAAACACCCAACACUUGAAAUAAAUAGAUCUUAAUUAUAGAGUAGAGUGACAAAGUAAUGGUUGGGGGGCACAUUGAAGGUAAAUGCUCAAGUCAUCUUUCUUUUGAGCCAGACUGCCCCCGUUCUAUAAACUACCAUCCAGCAUUUAUAAUUGACAAAUAAUUAAUCAUUACCAACACCACCUACUCUCAGCAUAUUUCCCCUAUGACCCUAUUUGACAGCCGAGAUUCAUUAAGUCCCUGAGUUUAGAUGUUGAGAUGAAAACAUUCUCUGCCACACACACACUCCCGAUUAAACCUCUUUGAAGUUAUACGCUUAAAACGAUCAGCGUCCAUUCCCCAUGCUCUGUCCAGUGGUAGAACACUGGCAGUAGGUGUGGGUGUGAUGAGGAGUUGCCUGUUAGUCAGCAGCAAAUGUGUGAAAGCUGAAAGCCAUAUUAAUGAUGCAGAUCUCUGUUGGGUACGUGGGGGGAGGACAGGCAGAGACAGACGGAACACGCUGGGAGGCCACAAAUCAGCCACUGAUUCAUCUAGAGGUGGGCCCGCCUGACGAGAGAAGAUUAAAGAGACAAGGGGACAACAUGCUGCAUACAUGUAUGACUGGGAGGAGAGACAUUAGCCAAGGACUGGCAGGGGACGGAGAGCAAGGGAAUGAGGGAGGGGGACAAGAAAACAAACAGGGGGAAGGAAGUAGAUAAAGAGAUAUAGGAAAGAGGAAAAACAAAUGAGGAGUGAAAAUGAGAAGCAAAGAGUGUAAGGAGUAGUGUUGGACAGGGCAAAAUGCAAGGAUGAUAGUGUUGAUUGGCGAGUAGAUCAGUCGAGUAGAGGGUUUCAGGAAGGGAGAUAAUGAGAGAGACAGUAAAGAAUAGUUUAAUAGGGCCAGAAAGAAAGCUUGAGAGAAGGGGUUAAUGGUUUGAAAGGAAAUGACAGGUGUGGUUGGAAAGGUCAGAGAAGAGAGGCUAGAGGGAAAAUGAUGACUGGUUAUAGAGGCUGGAGUAGCCAGGUGUGAAGUGAAUCGGUGAGUGCUAGGCUUCAUGUUGACACCAGUACCACUACUGCUAGUAGCAGUGUGUGUGUUUUUACAGGCUUCUCUCCAAGUUUGCAUUCUGAUCACAGUAGCUUCCCCAGAGGCUCAGUCAACCAACAUGGCUUAAUCCUAAAGACAGGACUGACCUCAGUUCAGAGUAGCCAAGCAGCAUCUGCUUCCUCAGCACAGCUCCACUGGCACAGCAUGUUACAGCACUAAUGCCACCCAGAAUAAAGAAUAGUUCUGUCAGGGAUAAGGGAUGGAGGCCAGCCUUCUGGGUUGAAAUGUCAUGUCACCAGUAUGAGGAAAAGAUGAAGUCUCAUUCUCUGUGUCGCCUAUGUGAGAAUCUUGUCAUGAGCACCAGUGAUUCUCUACUUUUUCCUUAUUAUUUUCGCACUCCAUUUAUCACUCUCCCCUGCUCCUCAGUCUCUUUCUAUAGUCACUUUUCUCAUUUCAUCUGGGUUCCCAUUUUGUCUCAGGAUGAUGAGGGUAUAAUGGCCUCAUUGAAGACUAAUGCUUUAUAAUGAUGAAAUGACCUGUCCAGCACAAACUGAGAGCCACAGACAGACAGAGACCGACAGACUUGCCAGACAGAGAGAGGAUGCUUGAGCUCACUCCCCUCAGCCAUUAAAUUACAUAGCCAAAGAGAACAGUAGUUGGGAGAGAGAAUGAGUAGACGGGAAUUAAAGAAUACUACAAGAAAUAAGAGGUGAAAAGAAAGAGAAUGGAGUGGAGAUAAUUAGGAAGUGGUGAGGCUGAAACGAGAGCCAGGCAGACUCACUGCAUUCCCACUUCACACUGUAGUCUACACACCAUCUUUAAAGGCUUUAUACCACACUUAAACACUCUGCCCUUGAGAUAACUUUCUCUUAGGAGGGCAGAGAAUUAGUUGUAAUGUCUAUUUUUAUUUUAAAACAGCUUGUGUAGGUAGCAUCAUUAGAUAUGAGCAUAAUCAUUUACAUGGCUAGACAUGAUCUUAAAUGUCCCUAUUUUGUUCUCUAUUGCUCCUCUAUUAUUCCUCAAGCAAGAGGGGAGGACGAUGACAUCACAGAUUCCCUCCCAUUAGACCAACUCCUUGAAUGCCCUACUCCUUGAAGUUUUCAGUUUUGUCUAAAAAACACUAUAUUGCUCAAAACAGAUUUUUUUUUACCCCUUAGUGUGUGUACUUUACAGUAUUUAUACUUGAGACUUUUCAACAGUUAAAGUUAGCUGGAGGACGUCUUUAACUAAUUUGAAAUCAAAUCCAAUUAGAUUUGUCACAUGCGCCGACUACAACAGGUGUAGACCCUACCGUGAAAUGCUUACUUACUAAGCUAUUAACCAACAAUACCACCGUUGUGUCGUCAGCAAACAUAAUGACGGUGUUGGAGUCAUGCUUGGCCACGCAGUCGUGGGUGAACAGGGAGUACAGGAGGGGACUAAGCACGCACCCCUGAGGGGCCCCCGUGUUGAGGAUCAGCGUGGCAGAUGUGUUGUUGCCUACUCUUACCACCUGGAGGGUGGGUCGUCAGGAAGUCCAGGAUCCAGUUGCAGAGGGAGGUGUUUAGUACCAGGGUCCUUAGCUUAGUGAUGAGCUUUGUGGGCACUAUGGUGUUGAACACUGAGCUGUAGUCAAUGAAUGGUAUUCUCACAUAGGUGAACAUUUUGUCCAGGUGGGAAAGGGCAGUGUGGAGUGUGAUUGAGAUUGAUUGAGAUCUGUGGAUCUAUUGGGGCGGUAUGCGAUUUGGAGUCGGUCUACGGUUUUCAGGAUGAUGGUGUUGAUGUGAGCCAUGACCAGCCUUUCAAAGCACUUUAUGGCUAUAGACGUGUGUGCUACGGGGUGGUAGUCAUUUAGGCAGAUUACCUUCGCUUUCUUGGGCACAGCAACUAUGGUGGUCGACUUGAAACAUGUAGAUAUUACUGACUCGGUCAGAGAGAGGUUGAAAAUGUCAGUGAAGACACUUGCCAGUUGGUCCGUGCAUGCUCUGAGUACACAUCCUGGUAAUCCGUCUGGCACGGUGGCCUUGUGAAUGUUGACCUGUUUAAAGGUCUUGGUCACAUCAGCUACGGAGAUCUUGAUCACAAAGUCACCCGGAACAGCGGGUGCUCUCAUGGGUGCUUCAGUGUUGCUUUCCUCGAAGCGAGCAUAAAAGGCAUUUAGCCCGUCUGGUAGUUUCCCCUCACUGGGCAGUUCGCGGCUGGGUUUCCCUUGUAGUCCUGCCACAUCCUACGAGCAUCAGAGCCGGUGUCAUAAGAGUCAAUCUUAGUCCUGUAUUGAUGCUUUGCCUGUUUGAUGGUUCGCCUGAGGGCAUAGCGGGAUUUCUUUAAGCGUUCGGAUUAGUGUCCCGCUCCUUGAAGAGGAGGUGUGAGGGUGCUUUAAAAAUAAAUAAUUUUACACUGAACAGUGUGUGUAUCACACAUCCUAGCUUGGUGCAGAUGUUGCCUGUAAACCAUAGCUGCUGAUUGGGAUAUGUACAUACGGUCACUGUAGGGACGACGUUGUCGAUGCACUUAUUGAUGAAGCCGGUGACUGAGGUGGUAUACUCCUCAAUGCCGUUGGAUGAAUCCCGGAACAUAUUCCAAUCUGUGCUAGCAAAACAGUCCUGUACAAUAGCAUCUGCGUCAUCUGAUCACUUCCGUAUUGAGCGAGUCACUGGUACUUCUUGCUUUAGGUUUUGCUUGUAAGCAGGAAUCAGGGGGAUAGAAUUAUGGUCAGAUUUUCCAAAUGGGGGGCGAGGGAGAGCUUUGUACUCUGUGUGUGGAGUAAAGCUGAUCUACAGUUUUUUUCCCUAUGUUUGCACAUGUGACAUGUUGGUAGAAAUUAGAUUAAAUGGAUUUAAGCUUGCCUGCAUUUAAAUCAUCAGCCACUAGGAGCGCCGCUUCUGGAUGAGCAUUUUCUUGUUUGCUAUUGGCCUUACGGCUCAUUGAGUGCCAACGCCGGUUUGUGGUGGUAAAUAGACAGCUACGAAAAAUAUAGAUGAAAACUCUCUUGGUAGAUAGUGUGAUCUACAGCUUAUCAUGAGGUACUAUAACUCAGACGAACAACACCUCGAGACUACCUUAAUAUUAGACAUCGCGCACCAGCUGUUAUUGACUGCCUGGUGAUGCCACCAGGCACACCAAAACUCCCUCCCACCAAAACAGGCUGACAUUUCAGGCUGUCUAUUCAAACCGCUGUUAAGCUGAAUGUGCAUGAUCAUUAUUUUCACAAUUUCAGUAUUAUUCCAACCUCUUAGUGUGGAAAUAUAUAUAAAACACAGGAAAGUACAGUUUUGACUGCACUGGGCCUUGAAGGAGUUCCCACAUAUGCUGAGCACUUGUUAGCUGCUUUUCCUUCACUCUAUGGUCCAACUCAUUCCAAACCAUCUCAAUUGGGUUGAGGUCAGGUGAUUGUGGAGGCCAGGUCAUCUGAUGCAGCACUCCAUUACUUUGCUUGAUCAAAUAGUCCUUACACAGUCUGGAGGUGUGUUUUCAGUCAUUGUCCUGUUGAAAAAGAAAUGAUAGUCCCGCUAAGCGCAAACAAGAUGGGAUGGCGUAUCUCUGCAGAAUGCUGUAGUAGCAAUGCUAGUUAAGUGUGACUUGAAUUCUAAAUAAAUCACAGAUUGUGUCACCAGCAAAGCACCCUCACACCUCCUCCUCCUCCAUGCUUCACGGUGGGAACCACACAUGCGGAGCUCAUCCGUUCACCUACUCUGCGUCUCACAAAGAGACAGCAGUUGGAACCAAAAAUCACAAAUUUGGACUCAUCAGAACAAAGGACAGAUUUCCACAGGUCUAAUGUCCAUUGCACGUGUUUCUUGGACAAGCAAGUCUCUUCUUACUAUUGCUGUCCUUUAGUAGUAGUGGUUUAUUUGCAGCAAUUCGACCAUGAAGGCCUGAUUCAAGCAGUCUCCUCGGCACAGUUAAUGUUGAGAUGUGUCUGUUACUUGAACUCUGUGAAGCAUUUCUUUGGACUGCAAUCUGAGAUGCAGUUAACUCUAAUGAACUUAUCCUCUGCAGCAGAGGUAACUUUGGGUCUUCCUUUUCUGUGGCAUUCCUCAUGAGAGCCAGUUUCAUCAUAGCGCUUGAUGGUUUUUGCAACUGCAAUUCAAGAAACUUUCAAAGUUCCUUAAAUUUUCCUGACUUUUUUGGUUACUACAUGAUUCAAUAUGUGUUAUUUCAUAGUUUUGAUAUCUUCGCUAUUAUUCUACAAUGUAGAAAAUAAAAAUAAAGAAAACCCCUGGAAUAAG